AGAACGAACGCUGGCGGCGUGGAUAAGACAUGCAAGUCGAACGCGACUUAUCUGGUUAGCAAUAACUAGGUAAGUUGAGUGGCGAAAGGGUGCGUAACACGUGGGGAUUUACCAAGAAGUGGGGAAUAGCUCGACGAAAGUCGAAUUAAUACCGCAUAUGAUCGAAAGAUCAAAGCCGGGGACCGCAAGGCCUGGCGCUUUUUGAGAAGCCCGCGGCCCAUCAGCUAGUUGGCGGGGUAACGGCCCACCAAGGCUAUGACGGGUAGCUGGUCUGAGAGGACGACCAGCCACACUGGAACUGAGACACGGUCCAGACACCUACGGGUGGCAGCAGUCGAGAAUUUUUCACAAUGG
rnacentral:rRNA from 1 species